GUUCCACAGACAGUUCCACAAAAAGGCCCCAAACAGUUCCACAAACAGUUCCUCAAACACUUUCACACAGUUCCACAAACAGCUCCACAAUAUUACAUUAUUUGAAUCUGGCUCAUGUGCCCAGCAAUGGCGGCUCUGUGGACAUGGGAUUCAACAGGCACAAGAACCUUCUCCUUUCUCCUGACCCUGCUGAUGGUUCAAGAUGGAGGUUCUGGGUGAGGAGCUGGGAUUUCUGGAUAAAAGAAUCAGGGUCUUCGGGCUUUGAACUGAGAGCUGAUCCUUCUGAUGAAACCUAGAAAGAACCUCACAUCGCAUCUCUUUAACCUCCGGAUACUCGUCUCUGUCUCUUCCCGAGCGAAUCGCUCCGUCCUGCAGCAGCGGUGUCACAUCUCGUCUGUGUACAUCAAACACAUUUCAUUACACAUUAUCUGGAGCUUGACACAUAAGUGAGAAGUCAGAAGUGAGCCAAGAGGAAGGAAAGAAUGAUAAGUGGGCAGAGGAGAGAGAGAGAGAGAGAGAGAGAGAGAGAGAGAGA